rnacentral:rRNA from 1 species
UCUAAAAUGGAAUUUUCUCUUUAGACACCACUUUAAUUUGAUGGAUAAAAAUAAACAUACAAUAUAUUCAAAUAUGGAAUUAAAUGAGGCACUAUUCCAGUUUAAAAUUUUAAAUAAAAUAGGAAAUUAUAUUUUAGUUAGUUGUAACUCGUUUAGGUAAUUUAGGUGCCAGCAACCGCGGUCAUACCUAAUAAGCAUGUUUAUACAUUUAUAUUGAGUUAUUUUCGUUUUAAUAAAAAUUAUAAGAUGUAGUGAAAUACUAUGUAGUAUUAAAAUCUUCUUUAAGCUGCUAUAUCCACACCUUUAUAGAAAACUAGGAUUAGAGACCCUACUAUUCUAGGCCUAAAACCCACUUAAUAAGAACUAAAACUAACAAUGGUUCAAACUUAAAAAUUAUGGCGGCUGGACAAAACAUUUAGGGGAACUUACCAUAUAAUUGAUAACCACCAAGCACUAUUCUACUUACUUUAACAAUUUGUAUGCCGUUGUCUUUUUGAAACUUAUAAAAAGUCUCAUGUGUAUACAUUAGAAGCUAUAAGUAGACAAAUCAAGGUGCAGUCUAUAAGUAAGAAUUAAGGUGAGUUACAAUAACUAGUUGUUUCAAAAAUAAUUAUGAAAUAUUUAUUGAAGAUGGACUUAAAAGUAAUAGGUUAAAUUUACAAAAAGACUAUAAAUAUGUAUUGUUUAGUGU